GCUUGGGGGGGCCGAUUUAGCCAUGCUAGUUGCACGAGUUCACACUCGUGGCGAAAAGCUCAGUAACACGUGGCCAAACUACCCUACAGAGAACGAUAACCUCGGGAAACUGAGGCUAAUAGUUCAUACGGGAGUCAUGCUUGAAUGCCGACUCCCCGAAACGCUCCGGCGCUGUAGGAUGUGGCUGCGGCCGAUUAGGUAGACGGUGGGGUAACGGCCCACCGUGCCAAUAAUCGGUACGGGUUGUGAGAGCAAGAACCCGGAGACGGAAUCUGAGACAAGAUUCCGGGCCCUACGGGGCGCAGCAGGCGCGAAACCUUUACACUGCACGCAAGUGCGAUAAGGGGACCCCAAGUGCGAGGGCAUAUAGUCCUCGCUUUUCACGACUGUAAGGCGGUCGUGGAAUAAGAGCUGGGCAAGACCGGUGCCAGCCGCCGCGGUAAUACCGGCAGCUCAAGUGAUGACCGAUAUUAUUGGGCCUAAAGCGUCCGUAGCCGGCCACGAAGGUUCAUCGGGAAAUCCGCCAGCUCAACUGGCGGGCGUCCGGUGAAAACCACGUGGCUUGGGACCGGAAGGCUCGAGGGGUACGUCUGGGGUAGGAGUGAAAUCCUGUAAUCCUGGACGGACCACCGAUGGCGAAAGCACCUCGAGAAGACGGAU
rnacentral:rRNA from 1 species